GACGAACGCUGGCGGCGUGCCUAAUACAUGCAAGUAGAACGCUGAAGGAGGAGCUUGCUUCUCUGGAUGAGUUGCGAACGGGUGAGUAACGCGUAGGUAACCUGCCUGGUAGCGGGGGAUAACUAUUGGAAACGAUAGCUAAUACCGCAUAAGAGUAGAUGUUGCAUGACAUUUGCUUAAAAGGUGCAAUUGCAUCACUACCAGAUGGACCUGCGUUGUAUUAGCUAGUUGGUGGGGUAACGGCUAACCAAGGCGACGAUACAUAGCCGACCGUGGAGGGUGAUCGUCCACACUGGGACUGAGACCCGGCCCAGCCUCCUACAGGAGGCAGCAGUAGUGAAUCUUCGGCAAUCGACGGAAGUCUGACCGAGCAACGCCGCGUGAGUGAAGAAGGUUUUCGGAUCGUAAAGCUCUGUUGUAAGAGAAGAACGAGUGUGAGAGUGGAAAGUUCACACUGUGACGGUAUCUUACCAGAAAGGGACGGCUAACUACGUG
rnacentral:rRNA from 1 species